rnacentral:misc_RNA from 1 species
AACGCAUAUUGCGCCCAAGACCUCGGUCGAGGGCAUGUCUGCGUCAGCGUCGGUAUUAACCCUCGCUUCCCUCCCUCCUGUUUGGAGCGGGGUCGGUCCAGCGCUUUGCCGCCGGGCUUGGAAGCGGAUCUGGCUUUCCCACUGUCCAGGUGGGUUUGCCGAAAAGCAGAGGCUAGAGCGAGGACCCGACAUGGGCUCAACUGGAUAGGUAGAAGCGGUGCCGCAAGGCGCUUGCCAAUACACGAAGUUGAUGCCUGGGGCCUUGCUGGCGGCCAGCAGGAAACGUGCGUGUGCGCUGUGGCUGCCCUUGUGCGCCAUGGCUGCCGCCGUAUCAAUCAUUCGACCUGACCUCAGGCAAGACUACCCGCUGAACUUAA